CUGGGGCGGGAAACCCCGGGCAACUGGGGCUAAUCCCCGAUAGGCGAAGACUCCUGGAACGGGUCUCCACCCAAAAGGUGUUAUGGUCAUGCUCCGUAACAUCGCCCGAGGACGGGGCCGCGGCCGAUCAGGUAGUUGGUGAGGCAACGGCUCACCAAGCCUAUAACCGGUACGGGCCGUGGGAGCGGGAGCCCGGAGAUGGGCACUGAGACAAGGGCCCAGGCCCUACGGGGCGCAGCAGUUGCGAAAACUCCGCAAUGCACGAAAGUGUGACGGGGCUACCCCGAGUGCCGUCCGCUGAGGAUGGCUUUUCUCUGCUGUAAGGAGGCGGAGGAAUAAGGAGAGGGCAAGUCUGGUGUCAGCCGCCGCGGUAAUACCAGCUCUCCGAGUGGUAGGGAUGAUUAUUGGGCUUAAAGCGUCCGUAGCCGGCCUUUCAAGUCUCUCGUUAAAUCCAGCGAUUCAAUCGUUGGACUGCGGGAGAUACUGUUAGGCUAGGGGGCGGGAGAAGCCGACGGUAUUUCCGGGGUAGGGGUAAAAUCCUAUAAUCCCGGGAAGACCACCAGUGGCGUAGGCGGUCGGCUAGCACGCGCUCGACGGUGAGGGACGAAAGCUGGGGGAGCGAACCGGAUUAGAUACCCGGGUAGUCCCAGCUGUAAACGAUGCGGGCUAGGUGUUGGAGCGGCUACGAGCCGCUUCAGUGCCGCAGGGAAGCCAUUAAGCCCGCCGCCUGGGGGAGUACGGCCGCAAGGCUGAAACUUAAAGGAAUUGGCGGGGGAGCAC
rnacentral:rRNA from 1 species